rnacentral:lncRNA from 1 species
GGUUUUAUGCUUUUCAGGCUCCCAGCCGAGUCUGCCUCUCAUCCCGCUCCUAGUUCUGAUCAGGAGCCUGGCUCCAGGAUGCUCACUGGAGAAAGAAGACUGAGACCCAUUGGAGACAGAGCUCCUAGGAAACUCACUCCAGCUUCUGCUUCUUCUGCUCCAAGAGAUAUAGUUUUUGCUUCAAAACCUAUGGUUCUUGCCUUGGCCUUCAAGGCCUGCUGCUUCCACUGUAAGCAAGCAAGGGACACCGACUUCAGCCUUCGAGACCUGAGAGACAGGAGGACUUCUCCUCCUGCUGUACUUGUUGGUGAUCUGCUGUCUCCAGAUUGCUUUACCAGGGACUGUUCUAGGUAGACAUCUCGACAUUCUGCAAGACGGUAGAGCUGCAAUGCGUGCUGGCACUCUCUUGGUGGAACCUUGAGAAUGUAUCAGGGCAACUGCUGGCAUCUGGCUGCCGCUGAGGGUCUCCGUUUCUAUCUUCCUGUUUGGGUUUCUAUUUUCUCAUUUGAAUUGUUAUUCCUGAGCGGCAAAUGAAAGCUACCCUUUGUUUACCCUUUGCUCUCUGACCACCCUGUUCUUGGGAGGAAGGGAAAGGCAAGAGUUUAACAGAGAAUGUUCGAACUAAAAUCUUUUGGCUGGGGAGAUAGCUUAGUGGGUAAAUCACUUGCCAUGCAAGUGUAAAGACUUGAGUUCAAGUCCCUAGAGCUGAACUUAAAACUAUAAAACUGGGAACAGUAGCUCAUGUCUGCAACCCUGAUGUUCCCCUGGUGAGAAUUCAAUAUUCCCAGGAGCUGAGACAUUUAGCCACGAGCAGAAUCUAUGUCACAUAGUACAGAAGGGAAGGUCUGACAUCAAGGCUGUCCUCUAGCUUCUACUUGUGUGCAGGGUACACAUAAACCUGCACUCAUGUGUGUGUAUACAUGUGUGUAUAUAUAUAUAUGUAUGUAUAUGUAAUAUAUAUAUAUACACAUGUAUAUAUUUUACACACACACAUAUAUAUAUAUUGUACACACAUGUAUCAUACACCCACACACUAACAUUUGAGAUGUUCAGGGAAGAUGACAGAUUAGAAGUUUUAUUGCCGAAGACACCAAAAGAAAACAGACAAAAUAAGAUGCAAGAGACAAGUGCUAUAAAGGAACCUACUAAGCCCAGAGAGCUCUGCGGUGAACCCGGCACACACUCUUGAAUUGGUGCCACGCCCUCUGAACCAAGCUUCCAUAAAGAGAGCUCAGUAGAAGCUCUGCUCACAACUUACUCUGAAAACUACAGAAUCGCAAAAAGGCAGGGUAGGGCAUAGGGGUCUGAGGGAACCACCAGGGAAGGACUUAGAGCCUCCCCUCCCCCAAGCAUCAGAGAGGCACAACCAAGGAGUCUACAGAGCCUGUGGACUCCCAGUCUUCUCUCUCACACCAGGGGGAGCCUUUGAGAGCCAGAGGGAUCCGAACACUUCACUGUCCGAGUCAAUGCAACAGUAGCAGAAAGUCAUAAGUACUCUAUUUCAUAUUUUGAAUGUCAAUCUUUUCUCAUGAUGGCUUGCUUUUGUUUGUAGGUUGCUCAGUUAGACCUUAGGAUUUUCUCAGUGUGUUUCUUGACCUACCCUCCUAUAGGAGGCUGCUUCUACUCUACUUUUCAGCACAGUAUCCACUCUACUUUCUUCCUACACCUAACCUUAGUAACUAAAGUCUUAAGUAUACAUACA